rnacentral:rRNA from 1 species
CGGAGGGUGCAAGCGUUAUCCGGAUUCACUGGGUUUAAAGGGUGCGUAGGAGGGCAGGUAAGUCAGUGGUGAAAUCUCCAAGCUUAACUUGGAAACUGCCGUUGAUACUAUCUGUCUUGAAUAUUGUGGAGGUGAGCGGAAUAUGUCAUGUAGCGGUGAAAUGCUUAGAUAUGACAUAGAACACCAAUUGCGAAGGCAGCUCGCUACUCAAUUAUUGACUCUGAGGCACGAAAGCGUGGGGAUCAAACAGGAUUAGAUACCCUGGUAGUCCACGCCCUAAACUAUGGAUACUCGACAUACGCGAUAUACAGUGUGUGUCUGAGCGAAAGCAUUAAGUAUCCCACCUGGGAAGUACGACCGCAAGGUUG